AUUUUGAUUGGCUGGAUAGAAGAGAGCUACUACGUCUGUGAUCCCCAGAUUCAUUUGCUGGGAGUUCUGUAAAUGCACGUUGUGGAGAGCAGGUAAGAAAUGAUUCCCCCUACUGUUACAAGCACUGCUGCCCAAGUGUCUAUCAAAGACCGUUUCCAAGCCCAAAUCAUGCCACCCACAGUCCGUAUUGAAGAGACCAGAGAAAAACCAGAAGUCCAGUCCUGCAAUAUGACACCAGGCAGCUCUGCUUGUGAGGUGCACUGUGUGAGAGGUCAAAGUGGCACUUCUUCUGCGAAAGAGGGGAUUGGAGAAGUUGGUGUCCAGCACCAGGAGGUGUCAUCCCCUGUGUUCUCAGCAGACCUUGCCAGUGAGACCGAAUCAAGAUCAGGGUCUCAAUCAUCCAGAGCUGCGCCAAAUGACUCUGCUUGUGAGGUGCACUGUGUCAGUGGUCAAAGUGGCACUUCUUCUGCGGAGGGGGUUGUAGAAGUUGGUGUCCAGCACCAGGAGGUGUCAUCCCCUGUGUUCUCAGCAGACCUUGCCAGUGAUGACCAGGGGAAUUCUGCCUGUGUAACUUCUGGGUCACCUCAUCUCCCUGACUCAGUUACUCAAGGUAUUAAUUAAAUGCGGUCACUAGGCACACUAGGCACACUUGCCAAUGUGCAGUCAACACUUACAUUAUGUUUGGUUAGACAUAUGUAAGGGAUAAUGUAUAGAAAACCAGUCAUUAUGGGGAAUAUUAGCCCAGACAGGGCAAACUGGACCCCGACAAGAAGCGGAGGGGUCUAGCUUCGUCCUGAAGGGGCUCAUAUUCCCCAUUGAUUGGUAGGCAGACAGGCUCUUUAAGCCCAUACAUUUAUACUGUGCAAUGUUUUUUUUAGAUGACCAGGGGAACUCUGCCUGUGUAACUUCUGGUUCACCUCAUCUCCCUGACUCAGUUACUCAAGGUUUCCGUGUUUCAUCAAGGCGGUGUACGAAGAGACCAUGGUCUGGUGAGGAGAUACAAGCCGUGAUGAAACAUCUGAGGCCUUUUGUUGAAAACGGUGUCACUGCCACCAGUGGGCAGUGCCUGCAGUGCAAGGAAAAGGAACACCCUAUCUUGGAGACAAGAUCCAUUCAAAACAUUCGAGAUUUUGUACGCAACAGAGGCUUGGCCUUUAAAAGGCAUUCAAAUUCUAAACGCUAAAUGCACUUUUGGAUAGCUUGAGCCUUUCUAGGCAUGUUUUACAAGUUGGUGUCCUGUGUUCAGAAAUGGGUUAGGUCACUUCAUUUAUUUUGCUCACAGGCAUUUUUUUGUUUGUUUGUUUUGCUUUGUGGUUAGCCU